rnacentral:lncRNA from 1 species
UGGAAGGAACUGUCUUAGAAGCAACACUACUUUUCCUCUUGAAUAUUAAAGGUUUUUCAUCAUCGCUGUCUUCAUACCCAUUAUUUAUUGGUUUGGGUGAAACCAAUACCCUUCCCUUACUAAUUGGGCUAGCCACAGGUGAUCUCAUAGGUGAUACCAUGUAGGAAGGAACUGCCUUGCUUCUCUGGGAAUUGGAUUUUGACUGAUUUGAAUUAGAAGCAACACUACGUUCCCUCUUGAACACUAAAGGUUUGUCAUCAUCGCUGUCUUCAUACCCACUUAUCCUCAUGAACACUAAAGGUUUGUCAUCAUCACUGUCUUCAUACCCACUUUUCCUCUUGAACACUAAAGGCUCGUCAGCAGAACUGUCUUCAUACCCAUUAUACAUCACAGAUUCUGAUACAGUUUUGCUGGAAGGAACUGUCUUAGAAGCAACACUACUUUUCCUCUUGAACACCAAAGGUUUGUCAUCAUCGCUGUCUUCAUACCCAUUAUUUAUUGGUUUGGGUGAAACCAAAACCCUUCCCUUACUAUUUGGGCUAGCCACAGGUGAUCUCAUAGGUGAUACCAUGUAGGAAGGAACUGCCUUGCUACUCUGGGAAUUGGAUUUCGACUGAUUCGAAUUAGAAGCAACACUACAUCCCCUCUUGAACAUUAAAGGUUUGUCAUAAUCGUUGUCUUCAUACCC